UCCCUGGAAGACUAGUGGUUAGGCCUAAGCGCUCUCUCUGCUGCAGCCGGGGUUCGACUCCCCGCCAGGGAA